rnacentral:rRNA from 1 species
UGGGGAAUUUUGGACAAUGGGGGAAACCCUGAUCCAGCCAUCCCGCAUGUGCGAUGAAGGCCUUCGGGUUGUAAAGCACUUUUGGCAGGAAAGAAACGUCAUGGGUUAAUACCCCGUGAAACUGACGGUACCUGCAGAAUAAGCACCGGCUAACUACGUGCCAGCAGCCGCGGUAAUACGUAGGGUGCAAGCGUUAAUCGGAAUUACUGGGCGUAAAGCGUGCGCAGGCGGUUCGGAAAGAAAGAUGUGAAAUCCCAGAGCUCAACUUUGGAACUGCAUUUUUAACUACCGGGCUAGGGUGUGUCAGAGGGAGGUGGAAUUCGGCGUGUAGCAGUGAAAUGCGUAGAUAUGAGGAGGAACACCGAUGGCGAAGGCAGCCUCCUGGGAUAACACUGACGCUCAUGCACGAAAGCGUGGGGAGCAAACAGG